GCUGCUUUCCAAAGCAGACUUUUUCGUUGACGAAAAAGAUCUCCAAACUUUGUCAGGCGCGACUUUACCGUCGCGCUUUUUUUCG
rnacentral:ncRNA from 1 species